CAGAAAGAAAACACGUGAGGAGAGCAGGUCUCAAAACUAUGUUUCUUCCUAGAUGCUAGAGCUUCCUUAUGGAGAUGCCUCUGGAAAGGAGAAAUAAUGGUCAAGAUGACAAUGGGUAGGAGGAGGCUAUAAAGAAAACUGACGACGGGUGGCGCCUACAGCUCCAAGGGCAAGAACUGAUUACUCCUGAUAACCUAUCAAAUGGUUCCAACACUUCAAGAUAACUUAAUGGACUAUCUUGGACAGCACUGGGACAUCCUGGGAGAGCAGCUGGCACUAAAUGUGGGGAUCUGGCCUCAAGACUAAUGAGCUGCAACCACAACACCAGCAGAGGAGGACAGAGGACGACUACGUGUGCAGGCUCUGCUCACUCCUGGCAGGUGGCGUCUCUGCUGUGUCAGGCCAGCAGCACCUUCUGACGCGGUCUCCUGUCUUGCUCCUGUGGAAAGUGCAGUCCCACCUGUGCCCCGGGCCUCAGCUCCCAGUCUGACAAUGCCAGGCUGGGGCCACAGCACCUUGAGCAUGGCCGCUGGGCAGGUCUGGGCAUGGGAAGGCACCUCCCUCCAGCUGUCUUGGGCAAUAAACGGGCCGUUCUGCCUUAACACUCUCUCUCCCUCUCUUCUUGGACCAGGGUCUGGUACUUUGCUGAUUGUAGGGCCCAUCUUCUAAGUGAGAAAGAACAUGGGCGGGAGGAGGGAGAGGGCUUGCAGCUUCCCGAGCCUCCAUAACUGUGCCGUGAAGUAUAACCCUCACAUGGGAAAAGAAUGUAUCCACACUGCCCUAGAUAGUCCCAGAUGGAACAGAAGGUCAAAAUGUGGCUAUUUCCGUCCCUGUAAACAAGGAAGAGGUUUAGCUAGGAACGGAGUUCAGACCCUGGAAUGUAUUCACAAGGACAUUUCCAUCAGAACCCAAAGGCAUCCGGGAACAGAGCAGCAGAGGGAUGACGGGGCGGGGGUGGGUCCGCUCUGCUCGCAGCAGACACAUCCCAUCCUUGCCACAGAGCCUUUCCUGGAAGGGGUGGCACCAACAGAGGUAAAGGAAGGCCCAGUCUGGAGACACUAGAAGCUGUCUCCUGAUAGCUUUAGGAGUCUUAUAAAAUUAGGAAACCUCUCAUUCCCUAAUCUUUGAUGGAGAAGGUCAGCAUGUGGCACUUGGCACCAGGGAACAGUUGCUGACUGUGGGGUGACCAUGCCCAGAGGCCAGGGGUGGCUGCUGCUCCCAGCAGGAGGAAAGAGUCCCUAGUCCAUCCACAUACACUUGAAGUCAUUUUUACCAAGUUGGAUAAGGAAGAUUCUUCUCCAUCCAAUUUCAAAUAAACAUAUGCCCUAGCAGUGGUUUCACACUUAACAGCUUGAUUUUUUUUUAAAGUUAGUGACACUCAUUUAUAAUAAAGACAUUUUAAAAACAGGUUAUUUGAAAAGUUCAGUCUAGACGGCGCCUGUAGCACACUAGGUAGGACACCAGACACAUACACCAAGGCUGGCAGGUUCAAGCCCAGGCCAGCUAAAAUACCAGCGAGAACUGUAAUAACAAAGAAAGCCAGGCAUUGUG